rnacentral:rRNA from 1 species
CUUGGGUGACGAGUGGCGGACGGGUGAGUAAUGUCUGGGGAUCUGCCCGAUAGAGGGGGAUAACCACUGGAAACGGUGGCUAAUACCGCAUAACGUCGCAAGACCAAAGAGGGGGACCUUCGGGCCUCUCACUAUCGGAUGAACCCAGAUGGGAUUAGCUAGUAGGCGGGGUAAUGGCCCACCUAGGCGACGAUCCCUAGCUGGUCUGAGAGGAUGACCAGCCACACUGGAACUGAGACACGGUCCAGACUCCUACGGGAGGCAGCAGUGGGGAAUAUUGCACAAUGGGCGCAAGCCUGAUGCAGCCAUGCCGCGUGUAUGAAGAAGGCCUUCGGGUUGUAAAGUACUUUCAGCGGGGAGGAAGGCGAUGCGGUUAAUAACCGCGUCGAUUGACGUUACCCGCAGAAGA